GCCAAAGCAAGCAAACAACACAGUCCUAACAAUAGAAUAGUUUAUGUGCCGCCCAUACAAAGGGGACCUGAAACCAGGAAGCCCUAGGAUUCGAUGAGGGGAGAACAAUCUGGCAGUGAGCUGACUUCUACCAAAGCAACCUGGAUCAGGAAGCUGGUGGAGGAGAGCCUGGAACCCCUUUGUGGUUAAAUGAGGUGCUUUUCCUGAUGGGCAAAAUACACAGCAGGGGCCGAGGGUGCUGCAAGCUUAAGGAUGUAAGAUGAUGACAACCAUAAGCAAAAGAACACAAUUUGAAGAUCUGGUGAGGGGCCUAAGACCUCAUGACAAGGUGUGUAAAUGGGGGAGCCAGAUGAAAGCCAGGUCCUUUGACUCCUAAGCAUGAACUUCACCCAGGGCUCAUAUUUAGAAGAUUGACCAUCCAAGCACCGCAAGGUAAGAGCAAUCGUGACAGAACGACCCUGGAGCUGGGUCCCCCAGACGGGCCCUGAAGGUCUGCACGUCACUGCUUGACCACCCCGC
rnacentral:lncRNA from 1 species